ACAGUUAACCUGUGGCCACACAGCCAUGUGACUGAGCAGCCGUCGCCUGGCCUGAGAACCUGAGGCGAGACUUUUCUGGAACGGAACUCAGAUGGAAGACCGCUUGUCCGGGUGGUUUGCGUAAACACUUUGCUCCCAGAGGAAACGUGGAUCUGACUGUUCCCUGGAAACAUUUAAACAGAGAAUGUUCUCAUCUGCAGUGAAUCGUUUCUGUGGAGUCAUCCCUGGAUGCAGGGGAAGGGCUUGGAUGACCCCCUCGAAUCCCAUCCAGCAGCAACCUUCCUGUCUCUCUGAAGAUGCUCUGUAAUAAGACAGCCAUUUCUGAACGGGUGUGCUCUCUGACUGGCUCCGUACACCCAACCCACUUCAGAAAAGCAAACUGAAUUUGAUUCACUCAUCAGGGAACAACAUUCUACAACCUGUCAGAGAAUAAAGCGCUGGAGUCAUUGCAUUCUGUUGCCAGAAUCCAAAUAUCAGGACUUAGCUGGUGGAUGCGUGGAGAGAGCAGGUGUCACUUCUACGCGGGGACUUGAGGAAAUACCAGAUGCCCCUGAUGCCUCUAAAAUAGCCAGGAAAUAAUAAAAACUCUCAAAUGACCUUCACCGUUUGCUACGGGAUAUGAGUUCACGUUAGAGGUUCAUUCUGUGGGAUGAAGGUCUCACGCCUUUGGAAGGGCUCUACUUACAUCAGAUCAGCCUUGGGUACCUGACACUGAAUGAGGUCAACUCUCCUGAGAAGAGCUUUUCCUGGAGGAAGUUCAGGAGAAGCAUGGGGCUACUGGUGGGUAUCUAAGGACCCAGAACUCUCAGACCCAAAGGGAAAGGCCACUCACACCUUCUGACAGGAUCCCACUCUCAUCCAGGGCAGCCUUAUCCGGGGCUUUCCGCGACUCGCUGCUUUAAUCUGAGGACUUAACAGCCCCAUGGCAGGAGUGCCUUUUAACGCGAGCCACUCCAAAAGCACUUUAAAGACCUCUUUAAAAUAAAUACUAUAGAGCUGAAGUGGCACUCAGUCCAUCCCACACAGCUGCGUGUACACACACACACACGCACACACGGUUAUUCACCAUUGUCCCUAUAAUCAACCUCAGUAGUUGGCAAACUGCUCUAAUAAAUGCUGAUAUUUGCCUACGCCCACGCUGCUUGGCUCACGGCACACGGUUCUGACUCACCACUGCGCCCCUGAGCCCAAAGCACCCACGUUUGCUGUGCAACCUAGAGGUUAGGGUCUGGGGCAGGUGGGCAGCAUCUUGGGAUACAGGAGCACAUUGUGAUGUGAGGGUGGGGGAGGGGAGGUGUAAGAAGAGCAAAUAGCUGACCAGAAGACCUCCUUCUUGAUUUUUGUUUGUUUGUUGGAAAGGAACCAUUAGGAAACAUUUUAGCGGGCUGACUUCAAAGAUAGAUUUGGGAAGCCAAAGGCCACUCAACAAAAAUGUAGAAUUCUAGACUGAGCUAGAGAGCACAGCUGCCCCUCCUCCCCGGUCUCCUCACUGAUCCUUCCUCCCUGGUCCCCAUAACACUCCUGGCUCUGCUCCAGGGCCCUGUGUCUGCUCCAGGUUACACCAGGAACGGCCAGCGGUGUUUCAUGCCGGGGCCCUGGCUCUGCAGCCUUUGGCGAGCUGAGGGUAUUGGAGCGCGUGACAUCUGUGCUGCAGAAACAGCACUGCUUCUCAUCUCACGUCCUUCUCUCAGCCCUGACCUCUUGAGCCAGUGGUCUCUUAACCACGAGGAGCCCACCUGUCAAGUCAGAGCAUCACCCAGGUGCCUGGCCUGGUUCUCAGAGCCGGGAGCUCAGGACAAGGAGGCCUGACCUUACUGCAGGUGACAGCCCACCCGCUGCCCACCGAGAAGGCCAGCACACCCAUCGCAAGCCCACCCUCAGCUCUGAACUUCCGGGGAGCACGAGGAAUCCCCAGCAGCCUCUAACUUGGAGUCCAGGUGCUGAAAAGAAAAGAUGGGCAGUGAAGCAUAAACACAUUGCUGUUACUACAAAUGCAACCCAAAGUCUAUCUCCUGUGGGUGGCGUGUCCCACUGAGGGAUGAUCUUGGCUGUGGUUGAAAGUAAUGUGCACUUCCUAACUCAUUCCAGGAGGCGAAUAUCAUGCUGAUACCAAAACCAAAGCCAUUACAAGAAAGGGGAACUGCAGGCUAAUAUCUUUCAUGAGCAUGGAUACAAACAUCCUGGACAAAAUUCUAGGAAAAGAAAUCUAACAAUGAUUAGAAAGAAUUACACAGCACAACCAAGUUGGAUUUACCCCAGAUGUACAAGGCUGGCUCAGCAUCCUGAAAUCAACUCUUGUAAUCCAUCACAUCAACAGACUGAGGAAGAAAAGUCAUGACUAUCAAUAGAUGCAAGACAUUAAUAAUAGGGAAAAUGCAAUGGAGUACGGGGAAACGUUUGAAAAUAUAGGUUUUAUUGUAAUUUAGAUAAAGCAAGGCCAACAGACCAGGAGACGAUUGCCAGUGAACCAUAGUCUGUUACAUUUCCCAAGAGCAGAGGGUGCUUCUCCUCCCUGAACCAUGGGAAGCACUGGGGUCUGUGAAGACGCCAGAGCUGCCAGCAAGGGGCUUAUUACAAUUUCCAUACGAAGGAACAACAAGGCAGGGUAGGCAGGCUUAGCAUCAGCUGGUCUCAGUGGUUCCGGUAGGCUCUGGGUCGUGGGACUGUCCCUAGCUGUGCAGGACCUGCCGCGGUGUGAUGAACUGUCCAGAGCGGGGAGCUCGGCAGAGGAGAAGGUGGGUCGGGGUGUGGACCCUGGACCGGGGGUUUGCAUCUAGAAGGAGUCGUUUAUUCUCCAGAACUGACCAACGCUGGUGGAGGGGGGGUGGUCUCUCCAGGGUCAGCCAGGCCCCUGAUGCCAGAGCAUCAGAUACAGGAAACAAGAGACGCAAUCGUUAGAGGAACUCUCUGUACUUUCCACUCAUUUUUCUGUAAACCUUAAAUUGUUUUAAAAACAAAAGUCUAUUUAGAAAAAAAAAAGUAAUGUACAACGAAAGACACAUUUUAACAAAUUAGUCUGGAAUUUCCUAUGUGUUUCAGAGCUAAAAGAGGCACGUCAUGCCUGGGCCUUUGGGUUUAAUCCCCUCUCCCACAUCUCCUUAAAGGGUGGUUGCUAGACCACAUGCCAAAGCAAGAAUCCACCCUACCCUCCCUCCAAACUAUGUAGGAAGGACUGAAGGGGCCUUUGAUCCUUUGAAAGAUAUAAGCAAAUAAAAGUGUGGACCGAACCGGUUCAUCUGUACCAUUUUUCUGGAUUCCACAUAUAUGCAUUAACAUAGGAUAUUUGUUUUUCUCUUUCUGACUUACUUCACUCUGUAUGACAGUCUCUAGGUCCAUCCAUGUCUCUACAAAAGACCCAGAAAUAGAGACACAGAUGUAGAGAACAAACGUAUGGACACCAAGGGGGGAAAGUGGUGGUGGUGGGAUGAAUUGGGAGAUUGGGAUUGACAUAUAUACACUAAUAUGUAUAAAAUAGAUAAUAAGAACCUGCUGUAUAGCACAGGGAACUCCACUUCGCUGUACACUAGAAACUAACACAACGUUGUAAAACAACUAUAUACUCCA